rnacentral:rRNA from 1 species
CCUACGGGGGGCAGCAGUGAGGAAUAUUGGUCAAUGGGCGCAAGCCUGAACCAGCCAUGCCGCGUGAAGGAUGAAGGCCUUUGGGUUGUAAACUUCUUUUAUUGGGGAAGCGGUACCCAAGGAAUAAGCACCGGCUAACUCCGUGCCAGCAGCCGCGGUAAUACGGAGGGUGCAAGCGUUAUCCGGAUUCACUGGGUUUAAAGGGUGUGUAGGCGGGCUUUUAAGUCAGUGGUGAAAUCUCCAGGCUCAACCUGGAAACUGCCAUUGAUACUAUUGGUCUUGAAUUUUGUUGAGGUAGGCGGAAUAUAUCAUGUAGCGGUGAAAUGCUUAGAUAUGAUAUAGAACACCGAUUGCGAAGGCAGCUUACUAAACAAAAUUGACGCUGAGGCACGAAAGCGUGGGGAUCAAACAGGAUUAGAUACCCUUGUAGUC